rnacentral:rRNA from 1 species
UACGUAGGGCGCGAGCGUUGUCCGGAAUUAUUGGGCGUAAAGAGCUCGUAGGCGGCUUGUCGCGUCGACUGUGAAAACCCGUGGCUCAACCAUGUGGUCUGCAGUCGAUACGGGCAGGCUAGAAUUCGGUAGGGGAGACUGGAAUUCCUGGUGUAGCGGUGAAAUGCGCAGAUAUCAGGAGGAACACCGGUGGCGAAGGCGGGUCGCUGGGCCGAUAUUGACGCUGAGGAGCGAAAGCGUGGGGAGCGAACAGG